UUGCAAAGUCGAGCGGACAGAUGGGAGCUUGCUCCCUGAUGUUAGCGGCGGACGGGUGAGUAACACGUGGGUAACCUGCCUGUAAGACUGGGAUAACUCCGGGAAACCGGGGCUAAUACCGGAUGCUUGUUUGAACCGCAUGGUUCAAACAUAAAAGGUGGCUUCGGCUACCACUUACAGAUGGACCCGCGGCGCAUUAGCUAGUUGGUGAGGUAAUGGCUCACCAAGGCAACGAUGCGUAGCCGACCUGAGAGGGUGAUCGGCCACACUGGGACUGAGACACGGCCCAGACUCCUACGGGAGGCAGCAGUAGGGAAUCUUCCGCAAUGGACGAAAGUCUGACGGAGCAACGCCGCGUGAGUGAUGAAGGUUUUCGGAUCGUAAAGCUCUGUUGUUAGGGAAGAACAAGUACCGUUCGAAUAGGGCGGUACCUUGACGGUACCUAACCAGAAAGCCACGGCUAACUACGUGCCAGCAGCCGCGGUAAUACGUAGGUGGCAAGCGUUGUCCGGAAUUAUUGGGCGUAAAGGGCUCGCAGGCGGUUUCUUAAGUCUGAUGUGAAAGCCCCCGGCUCAACCGGGGAGGGUCAUUGGAAACUGGGGAACUUGAGUGCAGAAGAGGAGAGUGGAAUUCCACGUGUAGCGGUGAAAUGCGUAGAGAUGUGGAGGAACACCAGUGGCGAAGGCGACUCUCUGGUCUGUAACUGACGCUGAGGAGCGAAAGCGUGGGGAGCGAACAGGAUUAG
rnacentral:rRNA from 1 species